AACUUUCAACAAUGGAUCACUUGGCUCCCACAUCGAUGAAGAACGCAGCGAAAUGCGAUAAGUAAUGUGAAUUGCAGAAUUCAGUGAAUCAUCGAGUCUUUGAACGCACCUUGCGCCCUCUGGUAUUCCGGAGGGCAUGCCUGUUUGAGUGUCAUGAAACUCUCAACCCCUCGGGUUUUACGAUCCGGAGGGUUGGAUUUGGGCGCUGCCGCUUCACUGCCGGCUCGCCUCAAAGGUCUUAGUGGGAUCGGUCGGACCCAUAGCUUGGCGUAAUAAGUUUCGCUGGGCUCGUGGCCGACGGAGUCUGCUUCCAACACCCCAUAUUCAAUGAUCUGACCUCAAAUCAGGUAGGGCUACCCGCUGAACUUAAGCAUAUCAAUAAGCGGAGGCU
rnacentral:misc_RNA from 1 species